UACGUAGGGGGCUAGCGUUGUCCGGAAUCAUUGGGCGUAAAGCGCGUGUAGGCGGUCCGGUAAGUCCGCUGUGAAAGUCGGGGGCUCAACCCUCGGAUGCCGGUGGAUACUGUCGGGCUUGAGUACGGAAGAGGCGAGUGGAAUUCCUGGUGUAGCGGUGAAAUGCGUAGAUAUCUGGAGGAAUACCGGUGGCGAAGGCGGCAUCCUGGACCGGCAUUGACGCUGAUGAGCGAAAGCUAGGGGAGCAAACGGG
rnacentral:rRNA from 1 species